rnacentral:lncRNA from 1 species
UAAACAGUUUAGACGACUUGUUUAGUGUUGAGAUAAAAAGUGAUUAGAAUAUUUGUAUAACAAGAAUAGUUAAACUCACAUCAAUAAAACUUGUGCAAUGUUCUUAAAUAUUAGUAAAACCUCUUCAAAGUUCUUAAGAGAGAACUCAAUAUAACUUUUUUCCUACUUUUUGUUUCUUAGAAAAUCUUUUUAAAUCUCUUAUAUAUCAC